rnacentral:rRNA from 1 species
CGACGUGAGCAAUCUGCCUUUGGAUGGGGGAUAACAGCCGGAAACGACUGCUAAUACCGCAUAAUGCAGCGGGAUCGCAUGGUUUUGCUGCCAAAGAUUUAUCGUCCAAAGAUGAGCUCGCGUCUGAUUAGCCAGUUGGCGGGGUAACGGCCCACCAAAGCGACGAUCAGUAGCCGGACUGAGAGGUUGAACGGCCACAUUGGGACUGAGACACGGCCCAGACUCCUACGGGAGGCAGCAG